CGAAUGGCAUCCUGACUUCGGACAACAGAACCAGCUGGCAAGUGAUAGGUCUACAACCAUACACUGUUUACUCAUUUCGAGUAGUUGCUGUCAAUACAAUUGGAGCUUCUCGACCAAGCAAAGAAUCUUACUACAUGGUAACACUUCGUGAAGUGCCUGAUGGGAAGCCCAACAUUACUUAUGCGCAUAACACCAGCAGUAGUUCUAUACUUCUGCAGUGGGCCGCACCACCUCGACAUACACUACAUGGUGAGUUCCUCGGCUAUCGUAUCACCUACCGUCUGAGAGAAAGAGCUCGAGGAGAAAGAGAAGUAAUAUUAAGAGAUCCCCAGGCUACGGAAUAUAUAAUACGUGGUUUGAAUGCAUUUUCCCAGUAUUUAAUUUCAGUGCAAGUAUUCAAUCCUGCUGGCCGUGGACCAGCUGCCACUGUGGCAAUUAUGACUGAUGAAGGAGCUCCCAGUCGCCCAAGGAAUUUAACUGCCAUUCGUAUCACUAAUAACUCUAUUAAACUGAGAUGGCUUGAUCCUGAACAUGCAAAUGGCAUAAUUCAAGGAUACAGUAUAUAUUACUUAGAUGUGGACCCUAAUCACACUGAAAGCAAAAAAGUAGAUAAUCCUAUGCCGAUGAUGGAAUAUGUACUUAACCACUUAAAGCCAUAUACGCAAUACAAAAUAUGGGUUAAAGCUUAUACUGGAAAAAAUGAAGGACUAGCGAGUAACAGCUUGGAAAUUAUUACAGAUGUCCAAAGUCCCAGUGCUCCUAUUAUCACAAACCUGACCUGUCAGUCAGUUGAUAGUAUAUACAUCCAGUGGGAUCGACCAAAAGUUGUCUACCACAGAAUUGAUUAUUAUUUUAUUUCUUACCGUUCUGAAAAUACACUGGAAUUUGAAGAAAUAUCUAUAUCUUCAUCACAGGAAAGGCAAAGUCAUAUGAUGACAAUAUCCAAUUUAACGUCGAAUAUGAUGUACGAAGUUAAAGUUCGAGGAGCCAGUAGAAGUGUUGUUGAGCAUUCUAAAUUAUACAAAGGUCCUUACUCUGAACUAAAGCAAAUAUUUUUGCAAAGUUUAUCAAAUGCUGCCCUUGAGGAAUCUACAAUUAGCGUUGGAAUUAUUUCUGGAAUCAUAUGCGUGUCUUUUGUUUUGCUUUUGGGAAUAUUAGCCUUUAUAUUGUGGAGGAAAUAUUUUCAAGCUGCUUACUACUAUCUUGACGAUCCACCUCGCAAACGAACAACUUCAGAAACAUCUAAAACCUUUGGAAUCAAUGAUAGCACUUCUGUACAUGUCUCAGUGUGGCCAGAUCAUGUUUGUAGUCUUCAUGCUGAUGGUGACAUAGGUUUUUCUAAGGAAUAUGAGGCUAUUCAACAGUCUACGGAUUUGGAACUUUCUUCUGAAUGUUCUCAGCUGGUUGAAAACAAAAAUAAAAACAGAUAUGUUAAUAUUGUUGCUUACGAUCACAGCCGAGUUGUGUUGAAAACUCUGCCUGGGCAGAAAAAAAUAGCUGAUUACAUAAAUGCCAACUAUAUUGAUGGUUACAAUGAGCCAAAUGCGUAUAUAGGUACUCAAGGACCUUUACCAUCAACAUUUGAUGAUUACUGGAGAAUGAUUUGGGAGCAGAAGGUGUAUAUAAUAAUCAUGAUAACAAAUCUUGUUGAAAGGGGUAGGAGAAAAUGUGAUAUGUACUGGCCAAAAGAAGGAAGUGAAAUUUUUGGAAUAAUUCAAGUGAAACUUAUACAAGAAGUUGAGUUAGCUACAUACACUAUUCGCACAUUUCUUAUUCGAAAUUUGAAAGUUAAGAAAAAAACUUCAUCCGAAAGAACUGUGUAUCAGUAUCAUUACACGAACUGGCCUGAUCAUGGAGUUCCUGAGCAUCCCUUGCCAGUUUUAAGUUUUAUACGAAAAUCAGCUUCGGCUAAUCCUUCAGAUGGAGGACCUAUCAUAGUCCAUUGCAGUGCUGGUGUUGGAAGAACAGGAACAUACAUUGUAAUUGAUGCCAUGCUGAAGCAGACAAAGCACAAACAAAGUCUCAAUGUUCCUGCAUUUUUAAAGCACAUUCGGCAGCAAAGAAAUUUUCUUGUUCAAACUGAGGAGCAAUAUAUUUUCAUUCAUGACACGUUACUGGAAGCAAUUGAAAGUGGAGAAACUGAAACUCCUGUUACAGAAUUUUCUCAGUAUGUCCAAAACUUGCAAGUCAUCGAUCAAGAUCAAGAAAAUCAGAAGGCGGUAUUAAGUCUAUUGGAGAAGCAGUUCAAACUAGUCACGGGUUUCAAGGCAAAAGAUUUUGGUGUUGUCUCUGCCACCAAAGUUUGUAACAGGGGAAAGAAUCGUAAUAUAAAUAUUAUCCCUGUAGAAUCUCACAGAGUGCACAUUACACCUAAACCUGGCAAAGAUGGAUCAGAUUAUAUCAAUGCAAGUUUCUUGCAGGGUUUUCACAAGUUGAAUGAAUUUAUUAUCACACAACAUCCGACCUUUGAUACCAUAUCAGAUUUCUGGCAAAUGGUUUGGGAUCAUAAUUGCCAAACUAUUGUGUUACUAUCCUUUGUAGAUGAAAAGGAAUAUCCAUGCUUUUGGCCUGAAAAAGACAAAGAAAGUGAUUUUGGGACUUUCAAAGUAAAAAUUAGUGAAGAAUGUAGUCAAGACUGUUUUACUACUCGGGACUUUAUACUUCAGUCCAUGCAGGAUGAUUAUGAAGUUAUAUGUCGAAUAAUUGAAUGUUCAGGGUGGCCAGAAUGCUGUUCGCCUCUUAGUUCUGUGUAUGAUCUAGUCCAUUUAGUGCAAGAAUGGCAUUUAGAAUAUCAAAAUGGACCGAUGGUUGUUGUUGAUAGGUUUGGUGGUACAGAAGCUGCCACCUUUUGCUGCCUAAGUACACUUCAAAAACAAUUAGAAUUUGAAAAUUCUGUUGAUGUUUAUAUGUAUGCUAAGUUAUAUCAUCUGCGAAGGCCUGGGAUUUGGCAAACACAAGAUGAUUAUUAUUUUUUGUAUCAGGCAGUGGAAAAGAGUUUAUUAGCAAGGCAUGAUACUACCGUAUCGCAUUUUAAUAGUCCUGUUAGUAAUGGUCAUGCUCUUCCAUUCAAAGAAGAACCAGUUAUCUGAAGUUUUCCUCUCACUAUGUAAAUAAGCAAUCUUUGACUGUGUGUUUUGUGUGCCUCAUACCAAGUGGCAAUCAGGACUGCAAAACCUCACUAUUUUUUAAGUGGAGGUUGUCUUUUAUGUUGCUUAUUUGGUAGAGCAAAGCUAAUUGCAUGGAUGUCCAGUUUUAUAUUGAAGAAUGAAAAGGAGUUUUGAUCGUUGUGGACUGAAUGAUGAUGCAAAAAAAUGGUUUGAGUAAGCGAGUGAAAUAUGUAUGAAAAAAAGCACUAAAAGUUUUGUUAAUGUUAGUUUCAAAAUUUAAAAUAAAUUAUAAAAAUUAUAAAAAAGCAAAAAAGUUGAAUGAUACAAAACUUGUUAUAUUAUUAUACGUUUAGUAGUGAUAAAAAUUAAUUAUGUCUGUUUCAUAAAAUUCGAAAUUCCAUGAAAUUCAGCUCAACAACAAUGUCGUAAAAUAAUUUUAAAAUGAGCAAAUUUUUAGAAUUUUCGAUACACAGUUCCGCGCGCUGGAGAUAAAAAGGUCCCAUCCCCCGUAGAGUGUUGCCAUUGCUUGCUUUUAAA
rnacentral:misc_RNA from 1 species